rnacentral:piRNA from 1 species
UCCUAUGCGAUAGCCCACGGGGCGGUGAGG